CAGCCGCCGCGGGAAUACAGAGGGUGCGAGCGUUAAUCGGAUUUACUGGGCGUAAAGCGUGCGUAGGCGGCUUCUUAAGUCGGAUGUGAAAUCCCUGAGCUUAACUUACGAAUUGCAUUCGAUACUGGGAAGCUAGAGUAUGGGAGAGGAUGGUAGAAUUCCAGGUGUAGCGGUGAAAUGCGUAGAGAUCUGGAGGAAUACCGAUGGCGAAGGCAGCCAUCUGGCCUAAUACUGACGCUGAGGUACGAAAGCAUGGGGAGCAAACAGGAUUAGAUACCCCAGUAGUCCCUGUCUCUUAUAC
rnacentral:rRNA from 1 species